GAUGAACGCUGGCGGCGUGCCUAAUACAUGCAAGUCGAGCGAACGGACGAGAAGCUUGCUUCUCUGAUGUUAGCGGCGGACGGGUGAGUAACACGUGGAUAACCUACCUAUAAGACUGGGAUAACUUCGGGAAACCGGAGCUAAUACCGGAUAAUAUUUUGAACCGCAUGGUUCAAAAGUGAAAGACGGUCUUGCUGUCACUUAUAGAUGGAUCCGCGCUGCAUUAGCUGGUUGGUAAGGUAACGGCUUACCAAGGCAACGAUGCAUAGCCGACCUGAGAGGGUGGUCGGCCACACUGGAGCUGAGACGCGGUCCAGACGCCUACGGGAGGCAGCAGUAGGGAAUCUUCCGCAAUGGGCGAGAGCCUGACGGAGCAACGGCGCGUGGGUGAUGAAGGUCUUCGGAUCGUAAAACUCUGUUAUUAGGGAAGAACAGAUGUGUAAGUAACUGUGCACAUCUUGACGGUACCUAAUCAGAAAGCCACGGCUAACUACGUG
rnacentral:rRNA from 1 species